GGCUGGGCUGGGACAGGUGCUGCAUCGAGCAGUGGAGGAGCCCUCCUCCCGCAAGCCUGGUGUGUAUCCAGAUUAAAACAAAGGAGGAUCCGUAACAUGCUGCUUAGCAACAAAAAGGAAUGAGCUGUGGAUCCACUCGACAGCCGGCUUGAAUCCCCAUGGAAUUACACUGAGUGAAAAAAGCCAAUCCCAAAAGGUUACGUACUGUAUGAUUCCAUUUCUUGAAAGGACGAAUUAUAGAAAUGAAGAGCAGAUUAGCGGUUACCAGGAGUUAGGGAGGGAAGUGGCUGUGGCUAUAAAAAGGAUCUGCGGUGAUGUAAAUGAUCUCUCUGGCUGUAUCUGUGUCGAUUGUCUGUGUUGGUGUGUGGUGUAGUUUUGCUAGGUGUUGGGGAAAGCUAGAUAAGAGGUUGUGAGGGGAAUGGGAAAAUAAACAAGGAGAGAAAUGAAUUACAGUAGAUGGGGUAGAGAGAGAAGAUGGGAGGGGAGGGAGGGGGGAUAGUAGAGGAUAGGAAAGGUAGCAGAAUACAACAGUUACUAAUAGGGCAUUAUGUAAAAAUGUGGAUGUGUAACCGAUGUGAUUCUGCAAUCUGUAUUUGGGGUAAAAUUGGGAGUCCAUAACCAACUUGAAUCUAAUGUAUGAAAUAUGAUAUGUCAAGAGCUUUAUAAUGUUUUGAACAACCAAUAAAAAAAAUAAAUUAAAAAAAAAAGGUGUAUGGGUUAAAAAAAGAAAUUUAAUUGACACAAUUAAGUUCAGGGCUGAAGGACAUCCC
rnacentral:lncRNA from 1 species